rnacentral:rRNA from 1 species
UUUAUUGGAGAGUUUGAUCCUGGCUCAGGAUGAACGCUGGCGGCGUGCCUAAUACAUGCAAGUCGAGCGAAUGAAUUAAGAGCUUGCUCUUAUGAAGUUAGCGGCGGACGGGUGAGUAACACGUGGGUAACCUGCCCAUAAGACUGGGAUAACUCCGGGAAACCGGGGCUAAUACCGGAUAACAUUUUGAACUGCAUGGUUCGAAAUUGAAAGGCGGCUUCGGCUGUCACUUAUGGAUGGACCCGCGUCGCAUUAGCUAGUUGGUGAGGU